CCUACGGGCGGCUGCAGUGAGGAAUAUUGGUCAAUGGCCGUAAGGCUGAACCAGCCAAGUCGCGUGAAGGAUGAUGGACCUAUGGUUUGUAAACUUCUUUUAUAGGGGAAUAAAGUUAUCCACGUGUGGCUAUUUGCAUGUACUUUAUGAAUAAGCAUCGGCUAACUCCGUGCCAGCAGCCGCGGUAAUACGGAGGAUCCGAGCGUUAUCCGGAUUUAUUGGGUUUAAGGGGUGCGUAGAUGGUUUGUUAAGUCAGCGGUGAAAGUUUGUGGCUCAACCAUAAAAUUGCCGUUGAUACUGGCAGACUUGAGUGUGGUUGAGGUAGGCGGAAUGCGUGGUGUAGCGGUGAAAUGCAUAGAUAUCACGCAGAACUCCGAUUGCGAAGGCAGCUUACUAAGCCAUAACUGACACUGAUGCACGAAAGCGUGGGGAUCAAACAGGAUUAGAUACCCUAGUAGUC
rnacentral:rRNA from 1 species